UGCUGGGGAAAGGUUGUAGGCAUGUGUCUUAGGCAAAUCCGGGACACUCUAUGCUGAGAACUGAGACGAACCUGUACUUGUACGGGGAAGUGAUAGAUGCCAUGCUUCCAAGAAAAGCUCCUAAGCUUCAGUCAGUAAGGGAUCGUACCCGAAACCGACACAGGUGGUCAGGUCGAGAAGACCAAGGCGCUUGAGAGAACUCUGGUGAAGGAACUAGGCAAAAUAGUACCGUAACUUCGGGAGAAGGUACGCUGUUGAGGGUUAAGCAUUUACUGCGUAAGCCUUCGGCAGCCUCAGAAACUAGGCCGCUGCAACUGUUUAUUAAAAACAUAGCACUCUGCAAACACGAAAGUGGACGUAUAGGGUGUGAUGCCUGCCCGGUGCUGGAAGGUUAAUUGAUGGGGUUAGCUAACGCGAAGCUCUUGAUCGAAGCCCCAGUAAACGGCGGCCGUAACAAUAACGGUCCUAAGGUAGCGAAAUUCCUUGUCGGGUAAGUUCCGACCUGCACGAAUGGCAUAAUGAUGGCGGCGCUGUCUCCACCAGAGACUCAGUGAAAUCGAAAUCGCGGUGAAGAUGCCGUGUACCCGCGGCUAGACGGAAAGACCCCGUGAACCUUUACUGCAGCUUUGCACUGAACUUUGAUCUUACUUGUGUAGGAUAGGUGGGAGGCUUUGAAGCUCGGACGCUAGUUCGAGUGGAGCCAUCCUUGAAAUACCACCCUGGUAAUAUUGAGGUUCUAACCCAGGUCCGUCAUCCGGAUCGGGGACAGUGUAUGGUGGGUAGUUUGACUGGGGCGGUCUCCUCCUAAAGAGUAACGGAGGAGUACGAAGGUGCGCUCAGCGUGGUCGGAAAUCACGCGUAGAGUAUAAAGGCAAAAGCGCGCUUAACUGCGAGACCGACAAGUCGAGCAGGUACGAAAGUAGGUCUUAGUGAUCCGGUGGUUCUGUAUGGAAGGGCCAUCGCUCAACGGAUAAAAGGUACUCUGGGGAUAACAGGCUGAUACCGCCCAAGAGUUCAUAUCGACGGCGGUGUUUGGCACCUCGAUGUCGGCUCAUCUCAUCCUGGGGCUGAAGCAGGUCCCAAGGGUAUGGCUGUUCGCCAUUUAAAGAGGUACGCGAGCUGGGUUUAGAACGUCGUGAGACAGUUCGGUCCCUAUCUACCGUGGGCGUUGGAGACUUGAGAGGAUCUGCUUCUAGUACGAGAGGACCGAAGUGGACGAACCUCUGGUGUUCCGGUUGUCACGCCAGUGGCACUGCCGGGUAGCUAUGUUCGGAAGGGAUAACCGCUGAAAGCAUCUAAGCGGGAAGCCUACCUCAAGAUAAGGUCUCCCUGAGGGUUUAACCCUCCUAAAGAGCCGUUAGAGACCAUGACGUUGAUAGGUUCGGUGUGGAAGUGCAGCGAUGCAUGAAGCUAACGAAUACUAAUUGCUCGUGAGGCUUGAC
rnacentral:rRNA from 1 species